rnacentral:rRNA from 1 species
UACGGGGGGAGCAAGCGUUGUUCGGAUUUACUGGGCGUAAAGGGCGCGUAGGCGGCCUGUUAAGUCGAACGUGAAAUCCCCGGGCUCAACCCGGGAACUGCGUCCGAUACUGGCAGGCUUGAAUCCGGGAGAGGGAUGCGGAAUUCCAGGUGUAGCGGUGAAAUGCGUAGAUAUCUGGAGGAACACCGGUGGCGAAGGCGGCAUCCUGGACCGGUAUUGACGCUGAGGCGCGAAAGCCAGGGGAGCAAACGGG